rnacentral:rRNA from 1 species
CCCUUAGAUGUUCUGGGCCGCACGCGUGCUACACUGAGUAAUUCAAUGGGUAAGGGAACGCUAGCGCAUUACCUAAUCUUGAAAUUUGCUCGUGAUGGGGAUCGACGGUUGCAAUUUUCCGUCGUGAACGAGGAAUACCUUGUAGGCGCAUGUCAUCAUCAUGCGCCGAAUACGUCCCUGCCCUUUGUACACACCGCCCGUCGCUCCUACCGAUUGAGUGAUCCGGUGAGGCUCUGGGACCUGGACGGAAAGAGCGUUUCGCUUGUUCUGUUUGGGAAACUUGGUCGAACCUUAUCAUUUAGAGGAAGGAGAAGUCGUAACA